CCAAUAGCGUAUAUUAAAGUUGUUGCAGUUAAAAAGCUCGUAGUUGAAUUUCGGGAUCAGUAGGUCGGUCGUGCCACUGGUAUGAACUGGUCUCACUGGUUCCUCCCUCUUGACGAACUGCAAUGCUAUUAAUUUAGUGUUGUAGGAAAUCAGGACUGUUACUUUGAAAAAAUUAGAGUGUUUAAAGCAGGCUUUGGCUUGAAUACAUUAGCAUGGAAUAAUGAAAUAGGACGUUCGAUCCUAUUUUGUUGGCUUCUAGGAUUGACGUAAUGAUUAAUAGGGACAGUUGUGGGCAUUAGUAUUCAAUUGUCAGAGGUGAAAUUCUUGGAUUUAUUGAAGACUAACUACUGCGAAAGCAUUUGCCAAGGAUGUUUUCAUUAAUCAAGAACGAAAGUUAGGGGAUCGAAGACGAUCAGAUACCGUCGUAGUCUUAACCAUAAACUAUGCCGACUAGGGAUCGGAUGAUGUUAAUUUUUUAAUGACUCAUUCGGCGCCUUACG
rnacentral:misc_RNA from 1 species